rnacentral:rRNA from 1 species
AACGAACGCUGGCGGCAGGCCUAACACAUGCAAGUCGAACGCUGUAGCAAUACAGAGUGGCAGACGGGUGAGUAACGCGUGGGAACAUGCCCUUCGGUUCGGAAUAACUCAGGGAAACUUGAGCUAAUACCGGAUACGCCCUUAGGGGGAAAGAUUUAUUGCCGAAGGAUUGGCCCGCGUCCGAUUAGCUAGUUGGUGUGGUAAUGGCGCACCAAGGCGACGAUCGGUAGCUGGUCUGAGAGGAUGAUCAGCCACACUGGGACUGAGACACGGCCCAGACUCCUGCGGGAGGCAGCAGUGGGGAAUAUUGGACAAUGGGCGCAAGCCUGAUCCAGCCAUGCCGCGUGAGUAAUGAAGACCCUAGGGUUGUAAAGCUCUUUCGCCAGGGACGAUAAUGACGGUACCUGGAUAAGAAGCCCCGGCUAACUUCGUGCCAGCAGCCGCCGUAA